UACAGAGGUCUCAAGCGUUGUUCGGAUUCAUUGGGCGUAAAGGGUGCGUAGGCGGCGCGGUAAGUCGGGUGUGAAAUCCCUCAGCUUAACUGGGGAACUGCGUCUGAUACUGGUUGGCUUGAGUGCAGGAGAGGAACGCGGAAUUCCAGGUGUAGCGGUGAAAUGCGUAGAUAUCUGGAGGAACACCGGUGGCGAAGGCGGCGUUCUGGACUGCAACUGACACUGAAAGACGAAAGCCAGGGGAGCAAACGGG
rnacentral:rRNA from 1 species